rnacentral:rRNA from 1 species
AACGAACGCUGGCGGCAGGCUUAACACAUGCAAGUCGAACGCCCUAGCAAUAGGGAGUGGCGCACGGGUGAGUAACGCGUGGGAAUAUACCGUUUAGUGGGGAAUAACGUUGGGAAACUAACGCUAAUACCGCAUACGCCCGCGAGGGGAAAGAUUUAUCGCUAAACGAUUAGCCCGCGUGAGAUUAGGUAGUUGGUGGGGUAAUGGCCUACCAAGCCUACGAUCUCUAGCUGGUCUGAGGGGAUGAUCAGCCACACUGGAACUGAGACACGGUCCAGACUCCUACGGGAGGCAGCAGUGGGGAAUAUUGGACAAUGGGCGCAAGCCUGAUCCAGCCAUGCCGCGUGAGUGAUGAAGGCCUUAGGGUUGUAAAGCUCUUUCGCCGAUGAAGAUAAUGACGGUAGUCGGAGAAGAAGCCCCGGCUAACUUCGUGCCAGCAGCCGCAGUAA